UCAAAUUCUAUUUGGCUAGAGUCAAUAAAAAGUGAUUUUUGAUUUCAUGAUAACUAAUCUAUACAAUUGCUCCCCUGCUUUUUUGAAUAAAAAUGGAAAGGAAAUUACAUACGCAAUAACAAAAGGUCGAGGUUCGGUUGAAGGGUGGCACCACCGCCAGACAGCAAUCCCAGCCACCGCAGAGUACAGGUUCAGUUUGUUCUAGGGUCCAAAUAACAGCAGCUGCUCUGCCAAGCCAGCUUAUACACAUUCAUGUGAUCCUUACACACCCAAUCAUUUAAACCACUGCGGUACUAGCUUUUGAUCUGGGCGCACCGACACUUCAGGGCCGGUUACUUAAUUGCUGCAGAGAGCCAUCCAAUGGCCCUCUCAAAGGUCCAAACAACAAACUGAAACUAUUUACUCCGUGCUAGUCUAGGGACGACAAACUGCUGACGAUGUAGACACCAUGACAAGCCUUCCGCCGCCUUAUUGCCCCCACUUGGGUUACAGGCACGCGUUACUGCACUCGGCAGCCACACGUCUAGGCAUAGGUAAUAUAAAGUGUGAAAAACUUUUAAAGAUUCUCGAUGUGGGACAAUAUAGUAAACGACAUAGUUUUGCAGAAAAUUCUACGCUGCGGUCUCAUGGAGGCAAUGUUGCAGCUUAGGUACCUCGAAUCCUUCCCCUCUCUCAAACCGCUC
rnacentral:lncRNA from 1 species